rnacentral:rRNA from 1 species
GAAGGCGGUUGCCGGGCGCCUAUGAUGCAGUCGAACGAACUCUGGUAUUGAUUGGUGCUUGCAUCAUGAUUUACAUUUGAGUGAGUGGCGAACUGGUGAGUAACACGUGGGAAACCUGCCCAGAAGCGGGGGAUAACACCUGGAAACAGAUGCUAAUACCGCAUAACAACUUGGACCGCAUGGUCCGAGUUUGAAAGAUGGCUUCGGCUAUCACUUUUGGAUGGUCCCGCGGCGUAUUAGCUAGAUGGUGAGGUAACGGCUCACCAUGGCAAUGAUACGUAGCCGACCUGAGAGGGUAAUCGGCCACAUUGGGACUGAGACACGGCCCAAACUCCUACGGGAGGCAGCAGUAGGGAAUCUUCCACAAUGGACGAAAGUCUGAUGGAGCAACGCCGCGUGAGUGAAGAAGGGUUUCGGCUCGUAAAACUCUGUUGUUAAAGAAGAACAUAUCUGAGAGUAACUGUUCAGGUAUUGACGGUAUUUAACCAGAAAGCCACGGCUAACUACGUGCCAGCAGCCGCGGUAAUACGUAGGUGGCAAGCGUUGUCCGGAUUUAUUGGGCGUAAAGCGAGCGCAGGCGGUUUUUUAAGUCUGAUGUGAAAGCCUUCGGCUCAACCGAAGAAGUGCAUCGGAAACUGGGAAACUUGAGUGCAGAAGAGGACAGUGGAACUCCAUGUGUAGCGGUGAAAUGCGUAGAUAUAUGGAAGAACACCAGUGGCGAAGGCGGCUGUCUGGUCUGUAACUGACGCUGAGGCUCGAAAGUAUGGGUAGCAAACAGGAUUAGAUACCCUGGUAGUCCAUACCGUAAACGAUGAAUGCUAAGUGUUGGAGGGUUUCCGCCCUUCAGUGCUGCAGCUAACGCAUUAAGCAUUCCGCCUGGGGAGUACGGGCCGCAAGGCUGAAACUCAAAGGAAUUGACGGGGGCCCGCACAAGCGGUGGAGCAUGUGGUUUAAUUCGAAGCUACGCGAAGAACCUUACCAGGUCUUGACAUACUAUGCAAAUCUAAGAGAUUAGACGUUCCCUUCGGGGACAUGGAUACAGGUGGUGCAUGGAGUCGUCAGCUCGUGUCGUGAGAUGUGGGUAGUCCGCACGAGCGCCACCCUUAUUAUCAGUUGCAGCAUUAAGUUGGCACUCUUGGGGUGGAGGAACUGCCG